rnacentral:rRNA from 1 species
GAAGUAAAAGUCGUAACAAGGUCUCCGUUGGUGAACCAGCGGAGGGAUCAUUAAAGAGUGUAAUAACUCCCAAACCCAUGUGAACAUACCUCAUGUUGCCUCGGCAGGUCGCGCCUACCCCGCAGACCCCUACCCUGUAGGGCCUACCCGGAAGGCGCGGGUAACCCUGCCGGCGGCCCACGAAACUCUGUUUAGUAUUGAAUUCUGAACCUAUAACUAAAUAAGUUAAAACUUUCAACAACGGAUCUCUUGGUUCUGGCAUCGAUGAAGAACGCAGCGAAAUGCGAUAAGUAAUGUGAAUUGCAGAAUUCAGUGAAUCAUCGAAUCUUUGAACGCACAUUGCGCCCAUUAGUAUUCUAGUGGGCAUGCCUGUUCGAGCGUCAUUUCAACCCUUAAGCCCCUGUUGCUUAGCGUUGGGAGCCUACAGCACUGUAGCUCCCCAAAGUUAGUGGCGGAGUCGGCUCACACUCUAGACGUAGUAAAUCUUUCACCUCGUCUGUAGUUGGACCGGUCCCCUGCCGUAAAACACCCAAACUUUUAAAAGGUUGACCUCGGAUCAGGUAGGAAUACCCGCUGAACUUAAGCAU